AUACGGAGGGGGCUAGCGUUGUUCGGAAUCACUGGGCGUGAAGCGCACGUAGGCUGACUGGUCAGUUGAGGGUGAAAUCCCAAGGCUCAACCUUGGAACGGCCCUCAAUACUACCAGUCUCGAGUCCGGGAGAGGUGAGUGGAAUUCCUAGUGUAGAGGUGAAAUUCGUAGAUAUUAGGAAGAACACCAGUGGCGAAGGCGGCUCACUGGCCCGGUACUGACGCUGAGGUGCGAAAGCGUGGGGAGCAAACAGGAUUAGAAACCCCGGUAGUCC
rnacentral:rRNA from 1 species